rnacentral:rRNA from 1 species
UUAAAUGGCCGCGGUAUUUUGACCGUGCUAAGGUAGCAUAAUCAUUAGUUUUUUAAUUGAAAGCUGGAAUGAAGGGUUGAAUGAGAAAAUAACUGUCUCUUAUAAAUUUUAUUAGAAUUUUAUUUUUAAGUUAAAAAGCUUAAAUAAUUUUAAAAGACGAGAAGACCCUAUAGAGUUUUAUAUAAAAAUUUUUAAUAAAAAUAAAGAAUUAAGGGUUUGUUUUAAGUUUUAUAUUUAAUUGGGGUGAUUAAAAAAUUUAAUUAACUUUUUUUUUAUUUUAAUAUUAAUAAAUAAGUAAUUGAUCCAAAUUUUUUGAUUAUAAGAAUAAAUUACCUUAGGGAUAACAGCGUAAUUUUAUUGGAGAGUU